UUGAACGCUGGCGGCAUGCCUUACACAUGCAAGUCGAACGGCAGCACGGGAGCAAUCCUGGUGGCGAGUGGCGAACGGGUGAGUAAUGCAUCGGAACGUACCCAGUCGUGGGGGAUAACUACGCGAAAGCGUAGCUAAUACCGCAUACGCCCUGAGGGGGAAAGCGGGGGACCUUCGGGCCUCGCGCGAUUGGAGCGGCUGAUGUCGGAUUAGCUAGUUGGUGGGGUAAAGGCCUACCAAGGCGACGAUCCGUAGCUGGUCUGAGAGGACGACCAGCCACACUGGGACUGAGACACGGCCCAGACUCCUACGGGAGGCAGCAGUGGGGAAUUUUGGACAAUGGGGGAAACCCUGAUCCAGCCAUGCCGCGUGCAGGAUGAAGGCCUUCGGGUUGUAAACUGCUUUUGUACGGAACGAAAAGAUCUCUUCUAAUAAAGGGGGUUCAUGACGGUACCGUAAGAAUAAGCACCGGCUAACUACGU
rnacentral:rRNA from 1 species